rnacentral:tRNA from 1 species
GGGAAUGUGGCUUAGUGGUAGAGUGCUUGCCUAGCAUGCAUGAAUCCCUGGGUUCGAUUCCUCAGUACUA